UGUGUGGCUACGCUGCGUACCGGUUGGACAAGUGUUGAGCGCGUGGCCGGCGACUGCAGAGCAGUGGAUUUCCAGAGUGACUGUUGUUUCAGGCAGCGUGCUUCUCUCCCCAGUCGCCACGUGGAAAGCCUCUCCGACAAAGCAGCCAAGAAAAUGAGACUUGGAGGCAAAAUUCCAAGUAGGCAUAAGGCUUAUGCGCUCCAGGUCCCAUCAGAAAGGAGGAGACGUUUGGACUUGGAGUGAUUGGGCAGUCUUCACUCCGGCCAGUUCCUAGCAGCGUGAUCCUGGGCCAAGGACAGUAGGGAGCUGAAAAGUACACCUUCCACUUGCCAAAUGAACGUGAAAAUAAUAGAGCCCUCAGGGACGUGAGUGUUUGCAUGACAAUACAAUGGAGGGUGGGAUGGGUUUCGCUUUCAAUUUCACACAUUCAUUGAACGUUUGCUAAUAGUAAGUCUAUACUAAGGUCUAUCCUACAACCUUCCCUGUAGAUUCAGAACCACCACCAAAAUAAAUUAAAGAAAGAAGGGAACCGAUGACUGUGGAGAGAGCUUAGUAGGUAAAGUGCUCACACACUCAGUUAAAAAAAAAAAAAUAGUACCUACACGUUCCCACAAUACCUUGAGGAGCUCAAUUAACUUCCUCAACUACACUGCUAUAAAAAGGUCUGUUUGCCAAGGAGAUUGUGACUUAAUAGGGAACUUCUGCUUUUUUUUCUUAGAUUUACCCAUUUUAUUUUAUACGUGAGUGUUUGGGCUGCAUGUAUGUCUGUACACCAUAUGUGUGCUCAGUGCCCAUGGAGGUCAGAAGAGAGAGUAUCAGAUCCCCUGAAACCUGAGAUAUAGAUGGUUUUGAGGCACCAUUUGGAUCUUCUGCAAGAGCCGACAGUUCUCUUAACCUCUGCAUCGUCUCUCCAGCCCAGAACUUUGUCUGAAACUGUGUUUCCAGAAUUCGGCUGAGCCAGGGGAUUACAGGCAUGCUUUACCACACCAAGUAGUUUAUUUGGUAUGAGGGACCAAACCCAAACUUCGUGCAUGCUGGGCAGGCACUCUUCCUUUUUAUCUAUGUAGCCUUGAACUGAUCUUCAUGUCUCCACCUCCCAAGUUCUAGAAUUAAAGGUGUCCCAAGGAAGUCAGCAUGCACUGGAGUCCCUAGAACUGGCUUCAGGUUCUCUGGAAAAGCAGUAAGUGCUCUUAACUGCUAAGCCAUCUCUCUAGCCCCUUCUUUCUUUCUU